CGAGCGGAAACGACUUAACUGACCUUCGGGGAACGUUAAGGGCGUCGAGCGGCGGACGGGUGAGUAAUGCCUGGGAAAUUGCCCUGAUGUGGGGGAUAACCAUUGGAAACGAUGGCUAAUACCGCAUAAUGCCUUCGGGCCAAAGAGGGGGACCUUCGGGCCUCUCGCGUUAGGAUAUGCCCAGGUGGGAUUAGCUAGUUGGUGAGGUAAGGGCUCACCAAGGCGACGAUCCCUAGCUGGUCUGAGAGGAUGAUCAGCCACACUGGAACUGAGACACGGUCCAGACUCCUACGGGAGGCAGCAGUGGGGGAAUAUUGCACAAUGGGCGCAAGCCUGAUGCAGCCAUGCCGCGUGUAUGAAGAAGGCCUUCGGGUUGUAAAGUACUUUCAGUCGCGAGGAAGGUAGUGUAGUUAAUAGCUGCAUUGCUUGACGUUAGCGACAGAAGAAGCACCGGCUAACUCCGUG
rnacentral:rRNA from 1 species